ensembl:snRNA U6 U6 spliceosomal RNA
GUGCUCGCUUCGGCAGCACAUAUACUAAAAAUUGGAACGAUACAGAGAAGAUUAGCA